GACGAACGCUGGCGGCGUGCUUAACACAUGCAAGUCGGGCGGAAAGGCCCUUUCGGGGGUACUCGAGCGGCGAACGGGUGAGUAACACGUGAGUAAUCUGCCCUUGGCUUUGGGAUAACCACCGGAAACGGUGGCUAAUACCGGAUACGACCACUCCCGGCAUCGGGUGGUGGUGGAAAGUUUUUUCGGCCAGGGAUGUGCUCGCGGCCUAUCAGCUUGUUGGUGGGGUAAUGGCCUACCAAGGCUUCGACGGGUAGCCGGCCUGAGAGGGUGACCGGCCACACUGGGACUGAGACACGGCCCAGACUCCUACGGGAGGCAGCAGUGGGGAAUAUUGGACAAUGGGCGGAAGCCUGAUCCAGCAACGCCGCGUGAGGGAUGACGGCCUUCGGGUUGUAAACCUCUUUCAGUACCGACGAAGCGCCGAUGAUGGCGGUGACGGUAGGUACAGAAGAAGCACCGGCCAACUACGUGCCAGCCGCCGCGGUAA
rnacentral:rRNA from 1 species